UCCCCUGUAGCUCAGUUGGUAGAGCAGCGCGCUGUUAACGCGCUUGUCCGAGGUUCGAGUCCUCGCGGGGGAGCCA
rnacentral:tRNA from 1 species